rnacentral:rRNA from 1 species
UAAAUACUCCCGAGAGACCGAUAGCGAACCAGUACCGUGAGGGAAAGGUGAAAAGAACCCCGAGCAGGGGAGUGAAAUAGACCCUGAACCCGUCUGCCUACAAGCGGUCGGAGCGUCGUAAUGACGUGACGGCGUGCCUUUUGCAUAAUGAACCUACGAGUUACCUUCCCCGGCAAGGUUAAGUACCUAAGGUACGGAGCCGAAGCGAAAGCGAGUCUGAACAGGGCGCCAAGUCGGGGGGGGUAGACGCGAAACCGAGUGAUCUACCCUUGGCCAGGUUGAAGGUUGGGUAACACCAACUGGAGGACCGGAUGGGUAAGCGUUGAAAAGCUUUCCAAUGAGCUGAGGGUAGGGGUGAAAGGCUAAUCAAACUCGGAGAUAGCUCGUACUCCCCGAAAUGCAUUUAGGUGCAGCCUCUUUAUAGUAUAUCGUGAGGUAGAGCGACUGAUUGGAUGCGAGGGCUUCACCGCCUAUCAAGUCCAGAUAAACUCCGAAUGCGCGAUAUAUAUUUACAGGGAGUGAGGGCGCGGGUGCUAAGGUCCGUGUCCGAGAGGAGAAGAAUCCAGACCACCGGCUAAGGCCCCCAAAUGAUCGUUAAGUUGAACUAACGAGGUCGGAUCGCAGAGACAGCUAGGAUGUUGGCUUGGAAGCAGCCAUUCAUUUAAAGAGUGCGUAACAGCUCACUAGUCGAGCGAUCUGGCGUGGAUAAUAAUCGGGCAUAAACGAUCUGCCGAAGCCGUGGAUGUCGCAAGACAUGGUAGGGGAGCAUUCCAUGCGGCGUCGAAGAUGAGGGAUGACCCUUGUUGGAGCGCAUGGAAAAGCAAAUGUAGGUAUGAGUAACGAUAAGGGGGGCGAGAAACCCCCCCGCCGAAAGACCAAGGUUUCCUGAUCAACGCUAAUCGGAUCAGGGUGAGUCGGGACCUAAGGCAAAGCCGAACGGCGCCGCCGAUGGAAGAAUGGGUUAAUAUUCCCAUACUGCCUCAUGGAGUGACGUGGAGACGGAGAAGUGACAGUCCUGCCGGCUGACGGAAUAGCCGGUUGAAGGGUGUAGAUAUUGAUUCCCGUAGGCAAAUCCGCGGGGAGAGUCGAACCUGAGAGUAUACGGAGCGCUUGCGCAACGUAAUAUGGACGUAACCAUGCUCCCGAGAAAAUCCGCUAAACUUAUCCAUGCGGCACCCGUACCGUAAACGGACACACGUGGUCGGGUUGAGAAUACUGAGGCGCUCGAGUGAUUCACGGUUAAGGAACUAGGCAAAUUGACCCUGUAACUUCGGGAUAAAGGGUCCUCGUCGUAAGGCGAGGCGCAGAGAAUAGGUCCAGGCAACUGUUUAACAAAAACACAUGGCUGUGCUAAAUGGAAACAUGAUGUAUACAGCCUGACACCUGCCCGGUGCCGGAAGGUUAAGAGGAGAUGUCAUCCGCGAGGAGAAGCGUUGAAUUGAAGCCCCGGUAAACGGCGGCCGUAACUAUAACGGUCCUAAGGUAGCGAAAUUCCUUGUCGGGU